GACAGAGGGUGCAAACGUUGUUCGGAAUUACUGGGCGUAAAGCGCGUGUAGGCUGUUUCGCAAGUCGGGUGUGAAAGCCCUGGGCUCAACCUAGGAAGUGCACUCGAAACUGCGAGACUUGAGUCCUGGAGAGGAAGGCGGAAUUCUCGGUGUAGAGGUGAAAUUCGUAGAUAUCGAGAGGAACACCGGUGGCGAAGGCGGCCUUCUGGACAGUGACUGACGCUGAGACGCGAAAGCGUGGGGAGCAAACAGG
rnacentral:rRNA from 1 species